CCGGCGACCGGCGCACGGGUGAGUAACACGUAUGCGACCUGCCCCCCGCAGGGGAUAACCGGGAGAAAUCCCGACUAAUACCGCGUAACGCCGCGGACCUGCAUGGGUCUGCGGCCAAAGGAAGCGAUUCCGGCGGGGGAUGGGCAUGCGGCGCAUUAGCUAGUCGGCGGGGUAACGGCCCACCGAGGCGACGAUGCGUAGGGGUUCUGAGAGGAAGGUCCCCCACACUGGUACUGAGACACGGACCAGACUCCUACGGGAGGCAGCAG
rnacentral:rRNA from 1 species